rnacentral:rRNA from 1 species
GGGUUGUGAGGUUAAGCGACUAAGCGUACACGGUGGAUGCCCUGGCAGUCAGAGGCGAUGAAGGACGUGCUAAUCUGCGAUAAGCGUCGGUAAGGUGAUAUGAACCGUUAUAACCGGCGAUUUCCGAAUGGGGAAACCCAGUGUGUUUCGACACACUAUCAUUAACUGAAUCCAUAGGUUAAUGAGGCGAACCGGGGGAACUGAAACAUCUAAGUACCCCGAGGAAAAGAAAUCAACCGAGAUUCCCCCAGUAGCGGCGAGCGAACGGGGAGCAGCCCAGAGCCUGAAUCAGUGUGUGUGUUAGUGGAAGCGUCUGGAAAGGCGCGCGAUACAGGGUGACAGCCCCGUACACAAAAAUGCACAUACUGUGAGCUCGAUGAGUAGGGCGGGACACGUGGUAUCCUGUCUGAAUAUGGGGGGACCAUCCUCCAAGGCUAAAUACUCCUGACUGACCGAUAGUGAACCAGUACCGUGAGGGAAAGGCGAAAAGAACCCCGGCGAGGGGAGUGAAAAAGAACCUGAAACCGUGUACGUACAAGCAGUGGGAGCACGCUUAGGCGUGUGACUGCGUACCUUUUGUAUAAUGGGUCAGCGACUUAUAUUCUGUAGCAAGGUUAACCGAAUAGGGGAGCCGAAGGGAAACCGAGUCUUAACUGGGCGUUAAGUUGCAGGGUAUAGACCCGAAACCCGGUGAUCUAGCCAUGGGCAGGUUGAAGGUUGGGUAACACUAACUGGAGGACCGAACCGACUAAUGUUGAAAAAUUAGCGGAUGACUUGUGGCUGGGGGUGAAAGGCCAAUCAAACCGGGAGAUAGCUGGUUCUCCCCGAAAGCUAUUUAGGUAGCGCCUCGUGAAUUCAUCUCCGGGGGUAGAGCACUGUUUCGGCAAGGGGGUCAUCCCGACUUACCAACCCGAUGCAAACUGCGAAUACCGGAGAAUGUUAUCACGGGAGACACACGGCGGGUGCUAACGUCCGUCGUGAAGAGGGAAACAACCCAGACCGCCAGCUAAGGUCCCAAAGUCAUGGUUAAGUGGGAAACGAUGUGGGAAGGCCCAGACAGCCAGGAUGUUGGCUUAGAAGCAGCCAUCAUUUAAAGAAAGCGUAAUAGCUCACUGGUCGAGUCGGCCUGCGCGGAAGAUGUAACGGGGCUAAACCAUGCACCGAAGCUGCGGCAGCGACGCUUAUGCGUUGUUGGGUAGGGGAGCGUUCUGUAAGCCUGCGAAGGUGUGCUGUGAGGCAUGCUGGAGGUAUCAGAAGUGCGAAUGCUGACAUAAGUAACGAUAAAGCGGGUGAAAAGCCCGCUCGCCGGAAGACCAAGGGUUCCUGUCCAACGUUAAUCGGGGCAGGGUGAGUCGACCCCUAAGGCGAGGCCGAAAGGCGUAGUCGAUGGGAAACAGGUUAAUAUUCCUGUACUUGGUGUUACUGCGAAGGGGGGACGGAGAAGGCUAUGUUGGCCGGGCGACGGUUGUCCCGGUUUAAGCGUGUAGGCUGGUUUUCCAGGCAAAUCCGGAAAAUCAAGGCUGAGGCGUGAUGACGAGGCACUACGGUGCUGAAGCAACAAAUGCCCUGCUUCCAGGAAAAGCCUCUAAGCAUCAGGUAACAUCAAAUCGUACCCCAAACCGACACAGGUGGUCAGGUAGAGAAUACCAAGGCGCUUGAGAGAACUCGGGUGAAGGAACUAGGCAAAAUGGUGCCGUAACUUCGGGAGAAGGCACGCUGAUAUGUAGGUGAAGUCCCUCGCGGAUGGAGCUGAAAUCAGUCGAAGAUACCAGCUGGCUGCAACUGUUUAUUAAAAACACAGCACUGUGCAAACACGAAAGUGGACGUAUACGGUGUGACGCCUGCCCGGUGCCGGAAGGUUAAUUGAUGGGGUUAGCGCAAGCGAAGCUCUUGAUCGAAGCCCCGGUAAACGGCGGCCGUAACUAUAACGGUCCUAAGGUAGCGAAAUUCCUUGUCGGGUAAGUUCCGACCUGCACGAAUGGCGUAAUGAUGGCCAGGCUGUCUCCACCCGAGACUCAGUGAAAUUGAACUCGCUGUGAAGAUGCAGUGUACCCGCGGCAAGACGGAAAGACCCCGUGAACCUUUACUAUAGCUUGACACUGAACAUUGAGCCUUGAUGUGUAGGAUAGGUGGGAGGCUUUGAAGUGUGGACGCCAGUCUGCAUGGAGCCGACCUUGAAAUACCACCCUUUAAUGUUUGAUGUUCUAACGUUGACCCGUGAUCCGGGUUGCGGACAGUGUCUGGUGGGUAGUUUGACUGGGGCGGUCUCCUCCUAAAGAGUAACGGAGGAGCACGAAGGUUGGCUAAUCCUGGUCGGACAUCAGGAGGUUAGUGCAAUGGCAUAAGCCAGCUUGACUGCGAGCGUGACGGCGCGAGCAGGUGCGAAAGCAGGUCAUAGUGAUCCGGUGGUUCUGAAUGGAAGGGCCAUCGCUCAACGGAUAAAAGGUACUCCGGGGAUAACAGGCUGAUACCGCCCAAGAGUUCAUAUCGACGGCGGUGUUUGGCACCUCGAUGUCGGCUCAUCACAUCCUGGGGCUGAAGUAGGUCCCAAGGGUAUGGCUGUUCGCCAUUUAAAGUGGUACGCGAGCUGGGUUUAGAACGUCGUGAGACAGUUCGGUCCCUAUCUGCCGUGGGCGCUGGAGAACUGAGGGGGGGCUGCUCCUAGUACGAGAGGACCGGAGUGGACGCAUCACUGGUGUUCGGGUUGUCAUGCCAAUGGCACUGCCCGGUAGCUAAAUGCGGAAGAGAUAAGUGCUGAAAGCAUCUAAGCACGAAACUUGCCCCGAGAUGAGUUCUCCCUGACUCCUUGAGAGUCCUGAAGGAACGUUGAAGACGACGACGUUGAUAGGCCGGGUGUGUAAGCGCAGCGAUGCGUUGAGCUAACCGGUACUAAUGAACCGUGAGGCUUAACCUUACAACGCCGAAGGUGUUU